GAUGAACGCUAGCUACAGGCUUAACACAUGCAAGUCGAGGGGUAACGAGAGGAAAGCUUGCUUUCCUUGUCGACGACCGGCGCACGGGUGAGUAACGCGUAUCCAACCUGCCCCCAACUAGGGAAUAACCUUGCGAAAGUAAGACUAAUACCCUAUAAUUUCCUCAGAUGUCAUCUGACGAGGAAUAAAGAUUUAUCGGUUGUGGAUGGGGAUGCGUCUGAUUAGCUUGUUGGCGGGGUAACGGCCCAGCAAGGCAACGAUCAGUAGGGGUUCUGAGAGGAAUGUCCCCCACAUUGGAACUGAGACACGCUCCAAACUCCUACGGGAGGCAGCAGUGAGGAAUAUUGGUCAAUGGGCGGAAGCCUGAACCAGCCAAGUAGCGUGCAGGAUGACGGCCCUAUGGGUUGUAAACUGCUUUUAUACAGGAAUAAAGUUAGCCACGUGUGGUUAUUUGUAGGUACUGUAUGAAUAAGGACCGGCUAAUUCCGUGCCAGCAGCCGCAGUAA
rnacentral:rRNA from 1 species